GUUGCCUCCAAGGUAAAUUUGAUUAUCAAAUUUAUAAUAUUUUUAGAGACUUUAUAAUCUUUUUCAAUGUGUCACAAUCAAAAUCCGCUGGGAAGCAAAUCAUUUGUUUAAAUUCUACAAACCUUUUUAUGAAUGAAAGUUGAUUCAGUUGUUCAUCUUUAUUCAUCGUACAUUAUCUCCUUAGACAUUUUCGGUUUUGACUAUAAAUAACAGUGGAAUAUCUUACAAUUAUAAUUGAAACAUUGAGGUAGUAGUAGCUCGCCGACUUAUCAAAAGACAAUUUAAACGAAUACGUUUUAUCUAUGACACUUUUUUUUAAAUGAGAUGUAAAACAAUACCAGAAAGACAACCAUGACCUUGGACAAAAUGCCGCUAAACAAUAUAACGCUCACAUAAAAAUGAAAAUAUUUUUGUGUAAGGUAUACAUGGAGUACGAAAUAUUUUAUACAAAAUACAUAGUACGAGAACAGAAGUUAAAAUGUAUCCUCAUACCAAACACUUAUCAAAGGUGGUAUAUAUCAAAAUUAGUGAGACGAUAUUUAACACUAAAUAAGUGAAAUUACAUAACAGAAAUGCAUUACAAACUGUUUCAACACGAAAGUACGAUUUGAGAGUACUCGCAAAAACUGAAAGCUAGUUUAAAGCCAAAAAAAUAUAAUUUAUAAAAAAACAUGCAUCGGAGACGAAAAUCAACUAAACAUCCCAGGGAUUUAGUGUUUUAAGUUCAUGGACAGUCAAGGAAGACAUGAAUUAUACAAUGCCAAAAUAAAAGUAUCGACAUAGAUAGAGUAUUCUCAAUAUAGAAUUUAAACGUCGAUGUGUAUUAAUUCAUCCCAAUUUUUUUUUAAAGAAUACUAAUUUAGCGAUGUUUUAAUUUGCUGAUGACAAAAUUGAUAAUUAUGUCAAUGUGAAUUAUAUUCAAAAAUCUAAUUUUAACAUUGGUAGAUAACUUUUACAAUUAAUUUUGUUGAAAGGUUCGAUGAGUUUACACGAAUCACAUAUAGAAAAGAGGAUGUGGUAUGAUUGUGAUUAACAACUAUACCUCGCCGAACGGUUUUCAGCAAUGACCAAAGCCCAUACCGCAUAGUCAACUAUAAAAGGACCCGAAAUGACAAUGUAAAACAAUUCAAACGAGAAAACUAACGGCCUAAUUUAUGUUCAAAUAAUGAACGAAAAACAAAUAUGUAACACAUAAAAAAAAACGACAACCACUGAAUUACAGGGUCCUGACUUGUGACAGGCACAUACACACAGAAUGUAGCGGGGUUAAAAAUGUUUACGGGAUCCUAACCGUCCUCGUACCUGGGACUGUGGUGUAACAGUACAACAUAAGAACAACUAUAAAAAUCAGUUGAAAAACCUUAACUUAUCAGAUGUAUAAAAAUACAAAUACUACAAAUGCAAGUGGUCGUGGUCGGGUACGUGAACAUCCCAACAACAAAAAGACAAUAAGUACAGAUCUGAGAGUAUUCGCAGUUACUGAUAGCUAGUUCAAAGCCACUAACAACUAAUAAAACAAAUCAUGCAUCUAAGACUAAAUUAUCAAUCGGUACACAUCCGACAUUCAAUAGAUUUAGCGUAAAGACGUCUGAAACAGUCAAAGAAAAACAUGACCUUGUGCAAUGCCAAGAAACAUGUAUUGACAGAUGUAGAUCCAUGAUAUCGUGAUUUCCCCAAGACAUAGUGAUAUCCGCGCUUUUAGUUUAAAAGAGAAGCAAAGGUGAGAGACAUUCAAACUAACUCAAAGAUACAAAUAUGACGACGCAAUCGCUAAAAACGAAAAAGACACACAGACAAAUCAUAGUACACAAGACUCUACAUAGUAAACUAUAGACUAAAGGGUAAGCAACAAGACCCCCACAAAAACAAUGUUACCGUAAAAUUUAGAUUGUGAAAUACCGUUUUAAAUUAGUUUUUCGGUACAGCCUUAUUUACUAAUCAAAUAUUUGUAUCUAUGAAAGAGUUUAACAAUAUUUAAUAAAAGUUUUAAGUGAUUUGUGGUAAAGAAAUCGCUUAUAAUUGAUCGAUGAUGCAUUGAUAACGUUCGUUAAAAUCUAUUACAUCCCAAAAGAGGGACGAAAGAUACCAGAGGGCCAGUCAAACUCAUAGAUAGAAAAUAAACUGACAACGCCAUGGCUAAAAAUAAAAAAGGACAAACAGACAAUUAUAGUACAGAAGACACAACAUAGAAAACUUAAGACUUAGCAACACGAAUCCCACCAAAACUGGGGGUGAUCUCAGAUGCUCCGAAAAGGUAAGCAGAUCCUGCUCCACAUGUGACACCCGUCGUGUAGCUUAUGUUAUUACAAAUCCGUUGAAGUGACUUAUUCCAUAGGUCAAAUUUGUGAAAAAGGGAAAGGGAUCAUUGUAGUAACAACAUAAGGAACAUAUCCGAUAUCAUCUGUGAAACGGUUAUUCCAUAACGGUCAACCAACUCAACUCGUGAUGGCGUCCGUAAAAUUCACGAACGGAUGAUUUCAUCUUCACCAUUUGGAACUCUUGGUUUAAUAGCUUCCUUGUGAUCAGCAAUCCUCGAUCAAGGAAAUCAUGAUAAAAAAUACACAAUCGGGCAUAACGAACGAGUUUAGAUAUAUAUAUAAACGCCGUGUUAUGAAGCAUACGGAACCUCGUCGUCUAAAAAAAGAAAAUUACCAACAUUAUUAUGGACGAAUUUGAAUUGAAUCCAGAUUUUGUUUUCACGAGAAAUAUUUGGCUUUAAAUGAAAUUGAUAUUUACAAUGUCAGUGCAUUAGCUGGGGACAUUUGCUUCUCUACAGUGAUCUUGUUCAUAUACAAAACGAAAAUAUUCUGAAAUAGAUUGUGUUCCGGAUUGAAAAAAACGUAUUUAGCAUAUCCUUGACCACCUUUAUAACAUUUGUUAUUUGAAUAGUUAUUAACAUAUUUGUAUUGAAUUAUAUUUCUGAGGACCUUUUGAAUUAGAAAAAAACAUAUAUAUAUAUUCACAAAUAAAUUCACAAAUGUUCAGUUUGUAGAAACUUUUGUCGGGAGAAGUUUUUCUUUGUUUGUUUUGCUUUAUUUGCAUUGGUUUUUGUUUUCAUAUUAUUUUUUUGGGGGGUGUAUUUCUCAUUCUUGGGUUGAAUACAUUACAAUUACCAAAAGCUAAGAACAUCCCAUCUACCUACGGCACUGUUGAUGCAUUUGUAUUUAUGCAAGUUGUACUUAUUUGAGUAACAAACUAAAAUUAUGAGAACAAUAUUUCAUUUCUAGCAUUCUUUAGGCAACAUCCUAGGGAGAAUGAAUUGAUUACACGGCAUGAACAUAUCCAACUCAGUUCCUUGUAGUACUGCAACUGACAUCGAAAAAGACGCUUUUUCAUUUUUAGCCAUGGCGUUGUCAGUUUGUUUAAGAUUUAUGAGUUUGACUAUCCCUUUGGUAUCUUUCGUCCCUCUUUUAAUGGUCCGGAAUAACACACGGCUGCAAAUUGUUUUAAAUGAUAGAAUAAUAUCUAUAUUUUAAUUUCCGUCGGGUUGUAAAACGUUUCUAUGGUCACAUUUUUGUAUUUUAUCCCUUUAAUGGGGGUAACCCUCAAUUUACGGUUUUGGGUAGUUACCUUAAAAUCCAAAAAUAUAUUUUUUGGUUAAAUUUCCCGCUAGUUUCGUAAAUAUUUUCUAUGCACAUAUCAUCAAGGAUCAUCGGAAUGAUGAAGACAUAAGUAUAAUACCAUUUCCAAGUAAAACUUUCAAACUUAAAGUUGGCUGUUUUUUAGAUAGAAAUUUAACGCGUUUUUCUUUGAAAACGAGAAAACAUAUGAUUCAAAAAUAGUAUUUGACAUUUGAGAGGACAAAACAUAUUAUUUCGAUACUGCAUGCAAAGUUUGUUGGGCAAAUUCCAAACAAUUUGUCAAAACUCAAAAAUAAAAACAUCAUUUGUACCUUUUUUAAUUACGGAAAUUUCCAAUCCGUCAAUCAGCUCCACCAUUUAUUUUUUCCUACACCAUCAAUUUGAUAGUUUCGAUGUGAUUAUGUAGAUUUUGUAGGAGAAGUUAAUUUAUUUUUGAGUGAUUUGAAUAUAUAUAGUAGUUCUUUCGUGUAUUUUCUGUUAAUAAGUUAUAUUUUUGUUAUUAAACCGUUGUGGUAACGUCAGCCUAUUCAUUUACCGUGGAUUCUUUUUCUAGAAUCAACGCUUCUUAAAUCCGUCGCUGAAAUGGACUCACCAGAUUAUAUUCCAUUGUUUCCUUUGUGUGCCCAAUAUCAUUAAGUUUGAAUUGACUAAUUAACUGAUUUCUGUUCACUAAUGGAAUUAUUUUAAGAACUUAGCUUUAAUUUUUGUAAUUUCUAUAUGCCUUCACUGGGAAUUGAACCCGUUCAUUAAUUAUGUUACGUGUUACUGACAUCAACAUAUCGACGAAACCUCUGGGCUACCAAUCGGUUAUGAUUGAUAAGUCUAUUUUAUAUAUAUAAAUGAAUAUAUGAUAAACAUCGGUACAACGGACACACAAGGCUUGUACCUUUAUAUAUACAUAUAUGAGGUUGAGGAUGAAGUUCAUUUUUUAUUUAAAUGUGACACUCAUUUAUUAAAAAGAGAGGAAAUGAUGCAAAAUAUAUUAAAAUCAUGUCCAAACUUUCAAAAUUUAAAUAUUGAUAACAAAUUAAUUUGGAUAAUGAAUAAUGAGGAUCCUAAUGUAUUAUUUGCAUUUUACAAAUAUAUAGAAGAUACUAAGAAUUAAAGUACAACUUAAUCUGCAAUAACUAAUUCAUUAUAACUCUUUAAUAUGAAUUUGGAUACCCUGUUAAGCCUGCACAGAUCAUAAGAAGAAUUUCAAAUUCUUUGGCACCGUCCCUUGAUGAUCUUUGCUGGCUGGACACAGAAUCUAUAAUCUUAAAAAUAUGUUUUUAAAAUAUAUUUUCAAUAAUUAAGGAGCUGACUCAUCUGCAUUAAGUACAAGUAGGGACUCCCCUUUAAGCACCGACUCUUGGUGCUUUCUGCAGAUAAGUCAUAUUAAAUAUCCUUUAUUAAAUAAACUUUGUUAUUUGCAGUAUACCUCAUAGUCAAAUGUGGGAGUGCUUAAUUGCUUUGUUUUUUAUUUGUAUUUUUUUUUUUUUUUUUUUUUUAUAUAUAUUGACAUUUCUCCGCACAAACUACUAAUGCCUCAUGUUUGUCUUCUCAAAGUAAAGAUACACUUACCGGGUGCACUUGAGUCAUUUUCAACAUAGUAUUCAUUGAAUAAUAAUACAUUGCUACUUUUGUUGAGUGUAUUUUCUGUGUUAUAUUAUUUUAUUUUAUCAUUUUAUAACACUUGUUACAUAUCUUUUACUGUGUGUGUAUUGAUAUUUAUUGUUUAUAAUAAUAUUGUCUGUAUCAUAUGCCCUCCUGGGGCCCUAAUUUGGUAAUAAAAAUAUUCUAUUCUAUUCUAUACACAAUAGGCAAACAUAUAGUAUGAGUUGGUAGCCACGAGGUUUUAUGGUUAAGAUAAAUGAAUUAAAGCUAAGGACUUGUCUGUCUAGGUUCGAAUCCCUGAAUUCUCUUUGUUGUUCCUAUAGUCUAGAUUUCCAAUUUUUGUUCUUGUUUUGUAUAUUAUUGUGGAUAUUUUGUGUAAUAAGAGCGAGUUUGGUCGUUUAUUAUCGGAUUAUUGUUGGCCAUUCCACAUGUUUGAAACAAAACAAAAAUGGAUUGCAUAGUAUUGGUCCAUUUUUGUUUUAUAAAUUAAUAUAAUAGGAUUUCAUCUGAUUUACUACAUAAUUUUACACAAAUUUUAAUUCGCAAAUUCCUAUGCUAGAAAAUCGUGAUGUGUCUAGAAUUACGCUUAUUGCUAGCAAUUUCGGAUUCCCAUUAAGAUCAAUUUUAAUAGAAAUAAGUUCGAAUAUUUCUUAUUUUGUAAAAAAAAGAAGAUUACUUUCAGAUGCCUGAUGAUAUGAAGAUCUUUAAGGGCAGACGUGUAGUGUUAAAAUAUUUUUUUUAUGUUUUUUUAAAAUCAUUUAAUUGUGAUAUGUAAUUUAUUGUAAUGAAUCAUUUGACACAAUAACAUGGUUAUUUAAACUCACUUACAAUACCUUCUAAUUAAGAAUAGGCGUUAAUUUUUAAAGACAUUAACACAAGUUUUAAGUGAUAGAUAACAAUGGAUAAGCGUUGAUUCAUGAAAAACAAACCAUUCGCCCUCCGGGCUCAUGAUUUCCUUUUCAAGAAUCAACGCUUAUCCAUUGUAUCUAUAUUCCAUAAAAUUUUGACUUUAUAUAAAAGUUAACCAAAUCCUUCGGAUAAGAGGUUUUUCCGGAUUAUGACUAUAGUUGACAUUGUGUGAAAAUACAUUGUAUGUCAAUGUUUAACCUCAGAGCAAUUAAUAUGCAUGCAAGUGGUCGGGGGAAAAGUACUAUUGAAGAUUCUGCUUUCCUUGGGCGAAUCAUCAGUGAUGUUAUGAGACUUGCACCAGAAGGCAACAUUGGUGCGUCUUUAAAUUAUAUUGAUUGAUUGUUGGUUGCUUAACGUCCAGUGACUAAUAUUUCAUGCAUGUUCAGGACGAGAACAAGUUAAGAAUAAAAACAAUUGGUAGUUUUUGUCAUAAUAGAGGCCAUUCGGGAUGAUGAUCGGGAAAAUGUAGACUGCCACUGGAAAAUGAUGGUAUAUUGGAUUGGGACAGAAAUUUUCCAUUGCAACAUGCCACCUACGGACUCCUCAAAGAGUUGAUGCAAGGGUUUUUAACGUGCAAAGAACGUGACACUCCCUUUACACGAGGCAUCGGACUUAACGUCCCCAUUCUGACCGGACGUAACUGCGAACUUGAUACAUCCCGCCACAGCAAACGGACGCCGCCCACUUCGUUUUACUGCCGGUCGGGAGAAGACCAAGUGAUCAUGUUUCGUUUCCCCAGUCACCCUUGGGGUACUUUAAAUUAGAAACAACAGAAAUCAAUAUAUGUGAUCAAACUGAUCGACAUGUAUCCUCACAACCAGACACUUUUAUACGAUCUCGCAACAGGGUUUUUGUGUAAAAGACAAACCUUUAAAAAAAACCAGAAAACUACUCAAUUCAGACACAGUGAGGCCAAGGGAUAUGAAAUAUAGAGUUUAGCUCUGAACUCAAUUUAGGGGAUGCCAUAUCUGCUGCAGGAAAAUUAAAGUCUAUGUUAAGACUUUCAGAAUUACACCAAGGUGUGUCUGAAAAUAUCAAGGAUACAUUAAAAGAAGAACAAUUACGUCACCCUGCCACCAGUGCUCUUAUAAGCUAUGUCCUCGUUUUGAUAUUUUUUUGGAAAUGAUGCCCGCAUAGCUUGUUAAUAGAUAUAGGAAGAUGUGGUAUGAGUGCCAAUGAUACAACACACCAUCCAUGUCACAAUUUAUAAAAGUAAACCAUUAUAGGUCACGGUCCGGUCUUCAACACGGAGCCUAGGCUCAAAAGUUCAUUUGUUAGUUAAUUGAUGAAAAAUAACACAAAGGCGCUUCUGAACCGUAUAUUGUCCUUAAAAAUAACAAAAAUUCGUAAAUGUAUUGCUAUUACAAGAUCAAUCGUUUCUGUAGCUAGCAACAUUCGCCCCAUUACAUUUGGGAUUGGCAGUACAGAUACAUCAUGCAUAUGCAUAUGGGAAUGUGGGUCACGAACAUUGAUCGAAACUUUGUACUAACAAUUCUUAUGGGUUUCCUAUGCAAAGGUAAGACUAUAUCUGACGAGUUUGACCGAAUCAUGACGGUAUUUACGCUCCAGAUAGCAUUUGUACUCAAAAACUGUGUUUGCUUUUAACAAACUCUGUCCUGCGCCGAACGUGUGUCUUGUAAUGCUAAUACGCGUACUGAAUCCGCAUAUGAUGACUAAGAGAUUAAUUCAUGUCCCAAUUUAUCAAUACUUGAGCUAUUGUGUGUCGCUUUUAAAAGUUAUAUAAGGAUCAUGACUGAUUUUGAAUUACAACAUUAGAAAAUUGGCAUUGCAUUGUACAGUUUUUCAUCCUUCCCUUAAAAAAUUAAUGAGUUAACUUUUUUACCAGGAUUAUCCACUAAAAAAAUGAUCAUGCACCAAACUGGCUGUUUUACACUCAAUUUUUUUUUAAACUCGCAUUCGCCUCGGGUGACUAUAGUAUAUUUUGUGUUAUAACUCCUCUGUCCAGACUUUGCAAAUACACAAUAUGUAUUUAUCUAUAACUAAAUACUAAUUUUCACAAAAUACACAACCUUUAAGAUGCAAAAUUAAAAACACUGUUUCAGCGCUUGAAUUUUGCUUUUUUCAAAGAUAGAAAAAAUAUUGAAAUAAUUUGAUAAACUGGUGUUUUAUACUUUAGAAAAUAAUUCUGUAAUAUACUAUAGUGAAAUACUAUACACAAUAUGAAAGUUUAUGGAUGUGAAAAGGUCAAGGCCACUUCUUCUUUUGCUAUGUCUUAAAUGGAAAAAAAUCAGAAGGUUCAAAUCAACGCCAUUUUGUAAUGGCAGCUUUUCAUAUAAGUAGUCAAAUUUGUCGUUUUAACAUCGUUUAUAGCAUAUGCUUAUGAUUGAAUCGUUUUUGUAGCAUUCUAUUGAAUAAAUAUCAGAAUAUUUCUCCUUUUUGUCCUUUUGUUUGAAAUGUUGAUAUUUUUAGGUCUGACCUUUGACCUCAAUUUCACAAAAUUGUGACCACUAAGGAUUUUUACGACCCAAUUUUUCUUAUUGUACACGUUUUCCUCUUUCCAUCGAUAUAUAAUUUAGGUGUGUGUUCUUCCGGACCAUUAAAGUUUUAAAAAAUGAACUCUGGUUGCAGUACUAUUGUCAGAAAACCAGAAAACUGUCACAGAAAAGAAAACUCUUAACGAAAAGCAGCUGUGUGAACCCAUCAACAGAAGGGAGAUGUAAGCGCAAAUAUUUUAUCCACAUGACAUCUACCAAAGUAGUUUUCUCGUUCAUUCUAAUAUAUGCAAUAACAUUGAAAAAAGUCAAAUCACAAAAUUACUGAACUCCGAAAAAAAAUCAAAAUGGAAAGUCCCUGGUCAAAUGGCUAAAAUCGAAAGCUCAAACACAUCAAUCGAAUGAAAAACAACUGUCAUAUUCCAGCUUAUAAAACCGCAAAUUAGGUUUGUUUUUGUUUAACAAAAUGAAUAUCUUAAACGAUAUAUGUGUACAGUUAAAAGGCAGAUAGUCGCAUUUUAAACGAUGAUAUUAUCAAGUUAUUAUAUUGAUUCAAUAAACAACAACAGAUAUGUUUCAGUUUUGGUUUGAUAUAAUCUAUAAUGACUGUGUGUUCAAAUGAGAAUGGCUAUAAAUAUACAUGUUUGUUGUGGUGUGAUCUUUUCAGAAUACAUGUAUGUGCCAAAUUAGGCGGCAAUCCUUACUAUAUAGAUAUGUGAUUGUGCGGACAGACAAAAUAAAUUUAACGGCCUAAACCUUAAAUGUGACAUAAAAAAAAUUGUGUGAAUGAGUCACUAAUUGUCCUGACGUAAAGUCCUCUUAAGUUUUCGAACAUCUUAAGAUAUUCUACUCAAGGUAUAUAUUACCUUAUAUGCAUUCGGCUUACAUUGAAUAAUUGCAACUUAAAAAAUUCGUACAAAGCACAAACAAAUCAACUGCCAUAAAAGAUAGAAAGCAUCGAUAUAGAAGUACACGCAUUUCUGAAAGCGAGUACAAAGUCAAUUAUAACAAAGGAAUGUAUCAUGAUUUCUCAAAGUGCAGUUACAAUCGGUGCAUAUCCAACAGAUUCAGAGUAGGGAUUUCAUAAACAGUCUCAGAAACACCUUGUCAAGCCAGACAAAAAAUGUGAUAAUUUCCAUAUAUGACGCUGCUGAAGAAAUGGACAAUAAGGGUCAGUUUAGAACACAACUUGACGACAAAUAACAUUAAAGUUAUAUUCUCGGAUUCUAAAUUUUAUAUUUUUUUAUGUACCAACAUUCCAGUAUCGGCUCUGUAUGUAGAACAAAAUUUCCAUUUGAAAUCAUCCCUUCGAAAAUAAUUCAAAUCCAAUCAAGAGUUAUACUAUUAGUUGACCUUUAUAGAAAAUUUGUUUUACAGAUGCGGUUGGAUAUGUUUCAGUUGUCGUUACCACAAUCCCGUCCUCUGUCUCAAAAAUUACCUACCAAAUUAGUCUUAUCAAUCGGUUGGUAUUUAAAUAAUCACCACGAUGGGUUCCAUAUAUUUAGAAAAGGGUUUGCUUACGUUCCUGAGCAAAUAAGUUCGAUCCUGGUGUGGUUGAUAUUGCUGAUUCUUUGGUUGUCAAUGUUGUGUGUUUGUGAAUGAUGUUUGCCUUCAUGUUGUUUUUCGAUUUUGUUUUGUUUUUGCCAUUCCUCUUUCAGUUUGUUUUUCAUUAUGACAUCAUACAACUUAAUGUGACAUGUAUAAAGAUACAUAAAGAGUUUUAUCAUGCACAGUUUUGUACACGCUGGUACUAACAGCUUAAAAUAAAACCUGAUGAAAACAUACACUAAGCAAAUUAAAACAAAUUCAGAAAAAUUGAAGAUCCUUUGCACUCAAUUUCAAGUAUUUUAGGUGAAAAUUACGUUGCAAAAAUUAUUUUGUUUUCAAUUGUCAGACGACAGCUUGUUCUAUACUGACACCAUAAAUGAAUAUGUUUCUUAAUUGAGAUAUAUCGCAACAAUUAAGGUUGAUAAUUGUCGUUUUUUCGCCUAAUCAAAACUGCGCCGGGUGUCAAAUGGUAGCUCAUUCAGCAAAAGCUUCAUAUAUAUUUAGUUACCCUUUUGUUAGCCUAAAAUAAGGGAUAUUUUUGCUCUUCAAGGUACUUAUACAUUUGUCAAAAUCCAGAUGCUCCUAUUUACAAUUAACAGAAAUUUAAACCUCAUCUGAGAAUAAUCAGAGAUCAAAUUACCCUAGUGUUUUACUUUGUAUUGUUUAUUCGUUAUAUCAACAAAUAAUUUAUAUUAGAGAUUUCAAGGAGAGAAAAGUACUAUUUCAAGACUUAGGAUCCUUUUAACACGAAUAUUUCGUAACUAACAAGUUUGCCAUUAUUUAUUUUGGUGUCUAACUAAAUGCAAAAAGUUAAAAGUAAACAUUUCGAACGUGAUCUUAGCCUUUAAUCUUGACCUUAAUCAAAAUAUCAUAGAUCCCCACCACUUAAGGUUUACAAGUUCCAUUCAUCUAUCAAAUAUCAAGAACAGAAGGGAAAUAACUGUUAUAUUGAGUAUCUGUGUUGUUUCAGUCAAAUUUAACUAAGAAUUCUAAGGAUAUAUAGAGCAAUUUGGGAAAACAUUAUUAACUUUCUUUAAAAGUUGAAACGAAGCAGUGAUCAAAAGAAUAACAGAUCUAGAGUUCAAGAAGAUUUCUCUUUCAAAGAAAAAGCGUUUGGCAAACCGAAUGAAAAUAUAAAGUUAAAGAAUUCAAUAUUGUUUUCAAAAUAUCUUAUCAACAUGUUGCAGAUACAAAACUGCACAAAAUAGUGGGGGAAGAAAACAAAUGACCCUUAAUUAUAAGUUAUUUCUAAUGAAAAGAAGAAAGACUUGACAAUAAUUCCAUAAAUUGUCACAUUAUACAAUUUUUUGUAAAAAUAAAAAAUUGGGGUAAUGUAAUAAAUUUGGUAAAUAUACAAUAGUGGUAUUUUUUGUUUUCCAUUCAGAUUUUUAAAGCUAGUAUAUCAAAUGAGCCCCUCAGGCUAAUUUUUCUAAUCAGCAUUUUGUUCUUCAUUCAAUAAGAUGAAAUGCGCACCUGGCGCAAAUACAAAAUUUCAAUUCUGUAUCUAUGAUGAGUUUAUUCAAAACAUUUAAUAAAUGAAGUAGUUAGUUUAACUUUUGUACGCGUACAAAACGCUGUGAACGUUGUUCGUCUGUAUGAAUGACGUCACAUGUGUUUAAUUUAUAAUUGACCCAGAAUGACAUGAAAAUGUGACGUUGCUGCUUAGAGGGACGCAAUUGAUUAUUAUUUUUUUAAAUUGCGCCUGGUCUUCAUCUUUAAAAGUCUCCAAUACUUCUUCAACAACUCAUAAAAAAAGAAUGCUUGUUUGACUUAUGAUUAGUUUUUAAAAAAUAAGGAAGGAAAAACAAAUUUCUGGUAAGAAAGAGCUGUUUAAACAAUAUAUUUCCGUGAGGAUUCGGGUGAGAUUUUCAAAUUGGUCUAUGGUAUAACCAGUUCUGACAGAUGCGUAAGGUCUCGGGAGAUUUAAACAAGUGAUUGUUUUACAACAUUGUUCCCGACAUAUUUAUAAAGUGGCUAAAUUUGUUACCAGCUGUAUGUGACCACAUAGGGUUUUAAUGUUUACAUUUUUUUUCUCUAUACAUGAUUUUUAAAUCCUGUUUCACUUUAGUAACGUGUCGAGUAAAACAUGUUUCAAAUCUUCCUGUUUAUCUCCAUGAGCCAAUUUUUUAAAAUAAUUUCAAGGGAUUCAUUUGCCUUCAAAACUUGACUGUGUUCUUUCAGAUUGAAGACAAUAACAAUCAAAACCAAGGAGUGAACAAAGACUCACAAAGCCAACGGACAUUAACAUCAACAGUUAAGAAACAACACGAAUUCCACUAAAAACUGGGAGUUAAAGUCAGUACAACAUGUACAAGGUUGUGCAGUAAAAUGAGAGAAUCAUUUAUUUUGUGUAGUUAUGUUAUCUUUGAUUUUGUAUUAUUUCAUACAAAUUUUUCUCUCUUCCAGAAAGUUCAAUAAUGAUGUAUUGAUAAAUCAUCUAAAAAUUACCGUUGACGAAAACAAAACAAGGCAAUGGAAAGAAAAAAAAAACUGCGACAUAGAAAUAAGAUGUGGAGAAUUUAAAACUAAGGCACAUAGUGAUGUUUUGUUAACGAUUUCUGAUCACUUUAAGGCUUAUCUAAAUUUUCAUAAGAAAACACGGAAAAUUGCUCUAAACGGAAAAUUUACUUCCUCCGAUACGUUAUGCCAUAUCGUAACCUUUGCAUAUACUGGAGAUCUUGAAAUAAGAAAUCGAUUUACAAGAUGUUAUAGCAACAGCUUCCUAUCUGCAAGUCAAACUCAUUUUAGAUGUUUGUGAAAAGUUCUCGAUAAAUAGCGUCGAUCACGUAAGUGCCGUUUGCAUUCUUCCUUUUGCAAUUCGUUUCGACCUGAGAAGUUUGACUGAUACUAUAGUCCUAUGGAUAUCGGAAGAUUUUGAUACGUUAGUAGAGAAAAAUGAGUUCAGAACUCUGUCCCAUGACGAUUUUAAGUUCUUGUUGAUGAAUAGAAAUCUUUCUGUGUUUCGUAAAGGUAUUCCAGUUGACAAUAUUGAAAUUAACAUUAUUGAUGCUGUUGCUAAAUCUUUAACAGCCAAUCAAAUUGAAGCAAAAUCAACUGUCAAAGAUUUCCUUAGUGCGAUUCGGUUUUUAGAAAUACCAACUGCAAAUCUUAGGAAUUUAUAUGAUAUGUACCUGCUUUUCAGACCCUUGAUAGAUCAACAUUUACAACUUUAAGGAACAAUAACCUCAAGGAAAGGACAUUUUCAAAUUAAUUCUAUGAAAAUUUUAGAUCAUUCCAUAAUUCAUGCGAACAAUCCUCAUAGUUUAUAUGACUUAAAUUUUGUAAAAUGUUUCGAAGAAGUACCAGCUGUAAAUGAUAGACCUAUUAGGGUUGAGGUAUGGGUUAUACGUUGGGAAGGAAUUAUUGUAAUCGGGGGAAUUCGAGUGGAAUAUUAUAAGUUAUAUGGUUCGCUACUGACCCCAUACGGAUCCAUAGAGGGUUAGUAAAAUCCAUAGGGGUGAGGCCGGAGUCCGAUCCCCUAUGAUUUUAUUCACCCUUUAUGGAUCCGGUAGGGGGUCAGUAGUUAACUGUAUAACGAAAUUUAUCGGACGCUGGACUUUUUUCUGCGGCGUUUGUUGAAAAAUAAACAAUGAAACACAACAACAUUAAUAGAUGACGUCGCCAUUAACGCGUCAUGAACCUCAUAUGAAACUUACUAACACCAUACGGUCUCAUGGGGUCACCACGGUGACGGCAUUUAACCAAUCACAACGUGAUAAUUCAUCUGUGGUCCGAUAAAAGAGUAGAACAAGUGUACUUCAUGGCAUCCGACCAAAAGCUAGACAUUCCAUAUUAUCGGAGCAUGAGUUUGAACUGGAUGAUGAUGAAGUUAUCACAAGUAUAAAUCUCCAAAAAGGUGUGCUAAUAGACAGUUUAUCAUUUGAUACGAAUUAUGGUCGUACAUAUGGUCCUUAUGGUGGUAAUGGUGGAUAUCCGUCAUCUUCGUCGCCUAAUAAAAGACGUGGAUAUUUUCAUUCGUUUAGAGGAAUCAUGAUGCUAAAAGUUUGAUACGAUCACUUUAUUGCUAACAUUGAAUUUGUAUGGGCUGUGUUUGCAACAAACAAUACGGUCAAUGAAGAACAUACACCCUCUAUUAAAAUUAACCAUUUUAAAGGAAGUCGCAGAGACAGGUAUCUGCGUAGAACGAUGCCUAACAUCAACUAGUGUUUGACUGUCCAAUGCUGCUGUAAAUUCAUAUUCAUAUGCAAACGUUCAUUAAAAACUUAUAAACAAGCACCAUCCGUCGGUGUUCUCAACCAUUCGUUUGACAGAUAUUAAAAACAAAUAAGGUUUUGGAUAUGUUGAUUAAUUCAAAGGAUAAAUUAAUUCUAAGGCCUUAUCUUGUCAUUAAAAAUAAAAUCAAUGAUAUGAUUACUUAUACUAGUCCUGUCGACGUAAACGUCUCGGUCCUUUUGAAUUUAAAGCCAGUCUUUGAGUUUUAGUUUUAACUUUGAAUUGUCUUCAUAUUAACAUAGGUAUGUAUAUUGGGUUUUUGUUUCAUAAAAAACGUUUUCAUAAUAUUUAUUGAGCUCUCUGCUGAUAAAUAUAACUAUAUAUUAUAAAAUAAUUACAUAUUUCAUGUUGCUUACACGUGAUAAAGUUGUAAUUCAAAUUUGCCAUCGCAUAAUUGUUUAUUGCAAUAAAUUGUGUUGUCUUAUCUUAUUUUAUCUUUUUAAUCGUUGACAUUUAAACAUCUGUUAACUACUUUCGUUUAUAUUAAUCCCAACUUUCAGAAAACAUAAAUACUUGCAAAUCAUUGAUGUCUCAAAUUAUUUUUACAGUAUAAGAGGGUUAUUUAAGAUAAUUUUGAUAAACAAAAUCGUAUUAAGUAGCAGUACACGUAGCAGCAAACGCUUACCUUGACAACACACCUGGUCUCCCUUCUUAUUUGGUUCAUGCAAUUGCGUCAGUGUCUGUUUCUUAAAUUUGUUUGUCUCUUUUUACUCGAUUUAUGAAAUUGGAACAGCGUGAAACUUCUAGCAUCUUAAAAGAAGGUAGAAAGAUACAAGAGGGACAGUCAAACUCAAAGAUAAAAAAUAAACUGGCAACGUCAUGGCUAAAAAAAAAACACAAUCAGACAAAUAAUAGUACACGAGACACAAACUAGAAAAUCUAAAGACGUAUUUACCAUUUAUUUAAGGUUUCUGUGGAAAAAUAUGCUAAUGCAUCAAAGAAAGUCGAUGUUUUACUUCACGAUUUAUCAACUAAGGACAUUCAAAAACAGAAUAUAGAAUUAUUUGCAAUAUCUCCUUUGGUUCCCUUAUAAGAGUAGUUUUACUCAUAUGUCAUUCACGUAUAUGCUUUAACAUAAAAAUAGGAUUUUGCCUGUGUACAAAAUAACCAGUUCAUUGUAACUAUUAAAUCAUAAAUAAUUAAAUUCGAAACUAUGGUUCGAAGUUAUAAUAUACUUUACCAAAACAACAGAUAACUUAAAGAUUUAAAUUUAGUCUAAGAAACUAUACCAUGAUGUUGUGUUCAAAUCAUAUUGAUACUAAAAACAUAGAUAUGUUAUGAUAUUUUCACAUAAUACAAAAGUUAGAUUGAUUUGAAAUUUAGCGGUAAAUUGAACAUGGAAAUAUGAUUAUGCAGACAGACUACACGAAAUCAUUAUCAAUGUACAAUAUGCAAAUGUUUCAUUUUUGUUUUAUACUUUUCUUUUGUCCCAGUAGUCAGCAUUUCUAUGUUGAAAUGAAUUAUCAUUGCUAUGAUCAUAAUCAUACAUUAACUUUUCACAAAACUUUGAAUUGCUCGAAAAAUUAAGACUGUUCUACUCUAACAACAAACUACCUUAGUUGUAAUUGGCAAACCUUUACAAAUUUUUGGUCCUGAAUUCUCUUCAACGUCGUAUUGUAUUUGGUCAUUUAAUUUUCUUUAUUCGCGCAUCACUGCUGAGUUUUUAGUAGACUGAUGCUUUUGGCGUACGGAAAACAUUAUAAUCCUGGUAAUAAUUAUGGUUUUUUGGUGUGAAUUUUCCUUGUGAUAAAAACUAAAUCAGCGGACAUAAUGACUGUCAUAUAAUUAGUGAUAUGACAAUGAAAAUUAAUGUUUUUAAUAUUACUGUGGAUUCAACAUUAUUCGAUGGAUACCAGUUUUCAGGGGUUCCGUUGGUACAGGUAAACUAUUAAUUCAAAUGUUCAACUAAUUACAAAUUUUUCUAUUGACUUUGUAUGCAGAGAUCUGGGAAACAACAAAAUCAAAUUUCCUAGAAAACGUAAGUUCUCCGCAAUUAACGAAAAUUGAUACCUACAAAAAUAUUUGAAUCCACAAUAUAACGUUAAAAUAAAUCACAAACAUACUACUGUGACCUUUGACUAUUUUGGAUUAGUGUUUUGGCGCAUUCUUCUUAUAGAAUGUUUUGAGGCUUCCAUGCUCACUAUGCAAAUACAUGUACAAAGAUAUGUUAUGAAUGCCAAUGAAAUUGCAAUUUACUGAAACAUUUAUGAAAACAUGAACUAACGUCAACCACUGAAUAAAAAGCGCCUGAUUUUGGACAGGCACAUACAGAAUAUGUUGAGGUUUCAAUUAUUACACAUGUCAACAUACCAAUUUUACAUUUUACGUUCAGCAAGCAAAAAUCAAUCAAUCAAACAGUCAAUCAAUACGUGGUUGUAUUGCGUAUCAGAAAUUUAUUAAUUGUUUUUCUUAUUUUCUUGCAGAAAACCAGGUAAUAAAAAUCCUGUUUUCAGAACACGUCUCUAAAUUGCCAUUCGAGAAAACAAAAUAAGUGAAUGGAGAGCACAAAAGAACUGUGAUAUAGAAAUAACGUGCGGUGAAUUUAAAACCUAUGCCAAUAGUGAAGUUUUGUUUCUGAUUAUUUUAAAGCAAACACAAAAUUCAACAACCACGAGCGGAAUAUUUGUCUGAAUGAAGAAUUCGUCUCCCCCGAUGCGUUAAACGAUGUCAUAAACUUUGUGUAUACUGAAAUACUCUAAAUAAGUUUUGACAGAUUACAGGAUGUUAUUGCAACAGCGUCAUAUCUCAUAUCUCCAAGCCAAACAUAUUUUGUACAAGUGUGAACGCGGUUUGAUAAACAACAUCGAUGACUCUAGUGAUAUUCUCUACUUGCCUUCGCUAUUCGUUUUUACCUCAUCAAUUUGAUCGAUACUAUAAUCCUGCAUUUAUCGGAAAAUUUUGAAUCAUUUGUUGAGCAAAAUGCGUUCUGUCGUCUUUCUUAUGAGGACUUCAAGUUCCUAGUAAAAAAAAACAGUAAUCUGUCCGUUUUUCAUAAAGGGGUUCCGGUUGAUAAUUCUGAACUUCAUAUUCUCGAAGUUGUUGGUAAAACAUUAACAGCCAAUCAAGUCGAUAAUAUAGCAUAUGUGAAAG
rnacentral:lncRNA from 1 species